GACGAACGCUGGCGGCGUGCUUAACACAUGCCAGUCGAACGGAAAGGCCCUGCUUUUGUGGGGUGCUCGAGUGGCGAACGGGUGAGUAACACGUGGGUAACCUGCCCUUGACUUUGGGAUAACUUCAGGAAACUGGGGCUAAUACCGGAUAGGAGCUCCUGCUGCAUGGUGGGGGUUGGAAAGUUUCGGCGGUUGGGGAUGGACUCGCGGCUUAUCAGCUUGUUGGUGGGGUAGUGGCUUACCAAGGCUUUGACGGGUAGCCGGCCUGAGAGGGUGACCGGCCACAUUGGGACUGAGAUACGGCCCAGACUCCUACGGGAGGCAGCAGUGGGGAAUAUUGCACAAUGGGCGGAAGCCUGAUGCAGCAACGCCGCGUGCGGGAUGACGGCCUUCGGGUUGUAAACCGCCUUCGCCUGUGACGAAGCGUGAGUGACGGUAAUGGGUAAAGAAGCACCGGCUAACUACGUG
rnacentral:rRNA from 1 species